AUUGAACGCUGGCGGCAUGCUUUACACAUGCAAGUCGAACGGUAACAGGCCGCAAGGUGCUGACGAGUGGCGAACGGGUGAGUAAUGCAUCGGAACGUGCCCAGUCGUGGGGGAUAACGCAGCGAAAGCUGCGCUAAUACCGCAUACGAUCUAUGGAUGAAAGCGGGGGACCGUAAGGCCUCGCGCGAUUGGAGCGGCCGAUGUCAGAUUAGGUAGUUGGUGGGGUAAAGGCUCACCAAGCCAACGGUCUGUAGCUGGUCUGAGAGGACGACCAGCCACACUGGGACUGAGAAACGGCCCAGGCUCCUACGGGCGGCAGCAGUGGGGAAUUUUGGACAAUGGGCGCAAGCCUGAUCCAGCAAUGCCGCGUGCAGGAAGAAGGCCUUCGGGUUGUAAACUGCUUUUGUACGGAACGAAACGGUCUGGGUUAAUACCUCGGGCUAAUGACGGUACCGUAAGAAUAAGCACCGGCUAACUACGUGCCAGCCGCCGCAGUAACAC
rnacentral:rRNA from 1 species